GCGGCGGACGGGUGAGUAACACGUGGGUAACCUGCCUGUAAGACUGGGAUAACUCCGGGAAACCGGAGCUAAUACCGGAUAGUUCCUUGAACCGCAUGGUUCAAGGAUGAAAGACGGUUUCGGCUGUCACUUACAGAUGGACCCGCGGCGCAUUAGCUAGUUGGUGGGGUAAUGGCUCACCAAGGCGACGAUGCGUAGCCGACCUGAGAGGGUGAUCGGCCACACUGGGACUGAGACACGGCCCAGACUCCUACGGGAGGCAGCAGUAGGGAAUCUUCCGCAAUGGACGAAAGUCUGACGGAGCAACGCCGCGUGAGUGAUGAAGGUUUUCGGAUCGUAAAGCUCUGUUGUUAGGGAAGAACAAGUGCGAGAGUAACUGCUCGCACCUUGACGGUACCUAACCAGAAAGCCACGGCUAACUACGUGCCAGCAGCCGCGGUAAUACGUAGGUGGCAAGCGUUGUCCGGAAUUAUUGGGCGUAAAGGGGCUCGCAGGCGGUUUCUUAAGUCUGAUGUGAAAGCCCCCGGCUCAACCGGGGAGGUCAUUGGAAACUGGGAACUUGAGUGCAGAGAGGAGAGUGG
rnacentral:rRNA from 1 species